rnacentral:rRNA from 1 species
CAGCAGCCGCGGUAAUACGUAGGUGGCAAGCGUUGUCCGGAAUUAUUGGGCGUAAAGGGCUCGCAGGCGGUUUCUUAAGUCUGACGUGAAAGCCCCCGGCUCAACCGGGGAGGGUCAUUGGAAACUGGGAAACUUGAGUGCAGAAGAGGAGAGUGGAAUUCCACGUGUAGCGGUGAAAUGCGUAGAGAUGUGGAGGAACACCAGUGGCGAAGGCGACUCUCUGGUCUGUAACUGACGCUGAGGAGCGAAAGCGUGGGGAGCGAACAGGAUUAGAUACCCCGGUAGUCCCUGUCUCUUAUAC